rnacentral:rRNA from 1 species
GCGAAUCCCAAACCACGUCUCAGUUCGGAUCGGAGUCUGCAACCCGACUCCGUGAAGCUGGAUUCGCUAGUAAUCGCGCAUCAGCCAUGGCGCGGUGAAUACGUUCCCGGGCCUUGUACACACCGCCCGUCAAGCCAUGGGAGCCGGGGGUACCUGAAGUCCGUAACCGGGAGGAUCGGCCUAGGGUAAAACUGGUGACUGGGGCUAAGUCGUAACAAGGUAGC